rnacentral:lncRNA from 1 species
UGUCUAAGUAGGGAGCAUUAUUGAAUAAAUUUGGUUUUGGAAUCUAAAGUUGGGGAGAGUAAAGUAAAAAGAGUUUAUUAGAAACUUGGGAAAGUGAUGUUUUAUAAAAGGGUGAAAGUAUGAAAAGAAACAAGAAAAAGAAAUCACCCCUGAAACCAUAGAGCAAAGAAAAAUAAAAGAAAGAAAAAACAAAGAAAAAGCUCAUGAUUGUGUGGAUGUAAAAAAAAUAAGAAAAGAAAAAAAGACGGGGAUCAAAGAAAUGGAAAUUGUGUAGAGUUGAAUGUAUGAGA